rnacentral:rRNA from 1 species
ACGGAAGGCAGCAGUGGGGAAUAUUGCACAAUGGGCGCAACCCUGAUGCAGCGAUGCCGCGUGAGGGAAGAAGGUUCUCGGAUUGUAAACCUCUAUCAACAAGGAAGAAAAUGACGGUACCUGUGAAGGAAGCUCCGGCUAACUACGUGCCAGCAGCCGCGGUAAUACGUAGGGCGCAAGCGUUAUCCGGAAUUACUGGGUGUAAAGGGAGUGUAGGCGGCACUAUAAGUCAGAAGUGAAAGAUACCGGCUCAACUGGUAGACUGCUUUUGAAACUGCGUUUCUUGAGUGAAGUAGAGGUAAGCGGAAUUCCUAGUGUAGCGGUGAAAUGCGUAGAUAUUAGGAGGAACAUCAGUGGCGAAGGCGGCUUACUGGGCUUUAACUGACGCUGAGGCUCGAAAGCGUGGGGAGCAAACAGGAUUAGAUACCCUGGUA